CUGGUGUCGGCCCUGAGGAGACUCCGAGUACAUGAGAGCUGCUUUCUGAACGUUAGUAGAUAAAGAAUGCACCUUUGAUCAGAGGCCCCGACCCUGGAGUCAGGUAAGUAGGUGAAUGUCCAAAGGCUCUGAUGUUCUCCCCAGAAAAGAAAUUCUGUUUUAAUUUAGAGGACAUUUAUUCCAAUCUUCUAGUUAUUUUAAUUCGGGUAAAAUGUCCUUAGUCAUUUUCUUUAACCCAAGAGUGUUAAAAAAAUUAUUUUUUUUUUGCUUCUUUACAUGUUGAAUAAUUUAAGGAAGCUUUGAAAUGGACAGCUUUUGUUCUAAACAAGGACACAUCCCCAUCUGUCUGACUACCCUUUACGUCACACUGUCCCCUACCCCUUCGUUAGUACCACAGGGACCUCGGAGCAUCUUAAAGCUGAUCUCUGAGUCACAGUCAUGGUCCUGUCACAAGGUUAACUCAGAGCUUCUGCUAAGUCUGAAGGGGGCAAGGCUGAUACUCCCGUUCUCCUGCAAGACAGCAGUGUGCUCUGGCCCCUAGCUGGCACAGGAGAGCUGCUGGGCUCAGGCUGCCAGAAACUCCCGGGCUAACAUCCAGCAUCUGCAGCGCACCAAGCUGCCUAACACCCACCAGCUGUCCCAGUUAGUCCACAUCACAGACGAUGGGGAAGCAGUGGGAUGCCGCACCCAGGGCGCAGUGUAAUCCCAUCCAAAGACAAAUUCUAGAAAAAACUUCCCCUUAGACUGCGAGAAUAAAGGUUCUUACAACCAUGACUGUGUUUUUCUAUCUUGACGUCUUCAGCACUCACUGUAGUCCCUGGAGCAAAAUAGCUAAUUUUUGUUGCCAUAUUAAACUGAGCCAUUUCAUAGAGGCUCUAUGUACUGCAGUGACAAAAAUCUUUAGGCUAUGUCAUUAAAUGAAAAUAGAACAGUGUUUAGCAUGCAAAAUUUUGCUUAAUAAAAGGGAGAAAUAGGGGCCAGUCCGGUGGCGCAGCAGUUGAGUUCCCAUGUUCUUCUUCAGCGGCCUGGAGUUCGUAGGUUCAGAUCCUGGGUGUGGACAUAUGCACUGCUUAUCGAGCCAUGCUGUGGCAGGCGUCCCACAUAUAAAGUAGAGGAAGAUGGGCACAGAUGUUAGCUCAGGGCCCAUUUUCCUCAGCAAAAAGAGGAGGAUUGGUAGCAGAUGUUAGCUCCAGGCUAAUCUUCCUCAAAA
rnacentral:lncRNA from 1 species